CGUCAAGGUCAUCGAUCAUCGGAACUAGGAAGUCCUUGCCGAUUCCGACGACGCUGACUCCGACGCGAGCCCUCGGACUCCGCGUUCGUCGAAGUCGACCGAGCCACUCUCUACGACACACAUCUUGGUUCGGCACUCUCCCUUUUCACGCCCCUCUGAACUUGGCCUUUAGAUGCGUUCGUCUAUGGCGUUUUUUGACGAUCGGCAGUGGUUCUUGAGAUGCUGGUUCUUUUUCUUUCUACUUCUUGACUUAGCGAUAGGUUUCGGUUCCUUUUCUUUAUUCUUCUUGAUUCUGCAAGAGGUUGUUCUGCUUGAUAUGUUGAUAUGUUGGUUCUUUUUCAUAGUGCUUCUUGGUAAUAGAUGCUGGUUCUUUUUCGAUUCGCAUGUUAUGACAGUCUUUAGUUUGUAUUCCGAUUGAUUUUUUUUUUUUUAUUUAGUGCCUAUAUCGAUGUUGGUUGAUUAGUUGCAAGCCUUUAUGACACUCAUCUUUAGCUGCAUUCCUCUGUGGCGUUCUUUCUCUGUUCGGUCGGAAGUGGUUCUUGAUAUCUUAGUUCUUUUCUUUGUAUUUAAUGGCUUUGUGAUAGGUUGUGGUUUCUGUUUUUAUGCUUCUUGAUCUUCCGUCGGUAUGGUUCUUCGAUUCGAGUUUUGGCCGAUCCGUGGAUUUGUUCGGUUCCUCCUUAGUUUCUCCCGAUCUUUGUGGAUACUUGUAGCAUACUUGCUGUCUUGUCUAAAUUCAUGACCAACGAUAGGUGGAAUAUAGAUAAGUUGUACUCCUCUUUCUCUUGCUUCUGCUCGAUUCUGCAACAGGUUGUUCUGCUUUAUAUGUUGGUUCUUUUUCUUUACGCUUCUUGAUCUCCAGAUUUUUAGUUUAUAUUCCGAUUGAUUCUUUUUCGAAUGCCUAUACCAAUGUUGGUUGAUUGUCUGCUAGUGUGAUAAUCCAGGAUGUAGUUUAUACGAGUUCGUAAUCUGAGUUACUUCCUACGACGCGUCAGAUAAGAAACUUUUGGUUGAUUAGCUGCUAGUGUGAUAAUUCGGGAUGUGAUUUGAAUCGGAUCGAGAAAUAUGGAAAAUAUAGUUAGGCUUUAACCCAAAUCAAUCCGAUUGGAUGGUUUGGUCUGUGCGUACUUGGCAUCAUUGCACCCGAAUCACUUUAGUGCUUGGUGUUUAAAUUGAUGGGUAUUGAUAAGGGUAAAAAUGACGAUGUGACACGCCAUAACGUCAGCCGACAACACACUGCCCGAGGAAGUCGGCAUUAACACCUAACUCAGGCUUGGUUCUUCACGCCAUGCCAACCCCAUGUCAUACGCUAUCAGCCUGCCUCCUGCAAGCAGCCACAUCAGGUAACAUCAAACUCAUCUAUAAAUACCCCAGAGUUCUUAACGAACGGGGAGAGGAACACAAGCACAACGCACUUGGAGGCAUCUCGUCCUCCAAAACCCUCUCCACAUCGCAAACUUGAUCGUCGGAGGGGUCGGGCCGAGCUCCCGGCCCGACCUGUGUGCAGGUGCGAGACGGUGUUGCCUCUUCUCGACGCUGUGGCGGAGCUUCCUCCCGACCCGACCUCCCGACCCGAACCACCGUGCUCAGCCGCCGAGAGACCCCGAGCGACGUCGCUCGAGAUCCCCGACAUCCGGACCCCCGAAUCGAGUCGCGACGAUCCCGAGGCCACGGCUUAAAUAGAUGCCCCCCGCAUCAGGUAUAUAAAGCGGAAUAAUCUUUGUAUAUGAACAAAUACUAACAGGCCAAAGCAAAAUUAAAUGAAAUCACAAUUAAAUAGAACACCAAGAUAUACGUGAAAAAACUCAAAAUCACAUGAUAAACUAGAGAUAAUCCACUAUGAAAAUAAUGAAUAUACAAAUCUCAAUCUCUUGUGCAAAACUAACCAAUAAUCAUAAGAGAAUAACUAGGAUAUAAGGAUUACGUCACUGGCCACAAUAUCAAAAAUACAGUCACCUGUAUCCCAAAACGCGGUCACCACACCCUCCUUAUAUUAAUCUUGGUUAUGUUAAGAGAUUUAAGAAAUUUCCAUUGAGGAGUUCUCCGGAGUCUGUUUAGUUAGUACAUGGGACUCUGCUCCUCUUUAUAGAUGUAGUGGUAAUAGUAGCUGUAUUGGCUGCGAUCAUCGAGAGCGAGUGGACGGUAGGAGUUCGGGCUUGAGGCGACGGGAGCCAUGGAAUCGCGGACCAUGGCCACUUUUCGAGAAUGACUGCGCCGGAAGCGGAUUCCCCCCUCCACAACGAUCACUACACAACUACUUCAUCCCCCUCUGACUCCAGCGAUGACGUCCCCGAGUCCUCGGUCACGCGUUCACCGACCCACGCUCUACCACCUUAUCUUGGUUCGGCUCUCUCCCUUUUUAUGCCCAUUUGAGAUUGGUCUUAGUUUUUGUUCCUCGUGGCGUUUUUUCGCUGUUUGAAAUUGUGGUUCUUUAAUCUUUUUAGUUCUUGGUUUUGCGACAGGUUUUGGUUCCUUUACUUCUGGCGAUAGGUCUUGAAUAUUUUUCUUUGUGCAUCUCGAUUUUUCAAAGUUGGCUUGAUUAUUCAUAUUGAUGCUUUGUCUUUAUCCUCCUUGAUUUUGUAUUAAGCUAUUAUGAUUGCUUGAUACGUUCGUUUCAUGCUUUUUGAGAUGCUGGAUGCUGCUUCUUUUUCCUUUUCUUAGUACUUGAACUUUCAUAGAUGGUUCGAUUAAUGUCGAUGCUUUUGCCCUCAUAGGAUUUUGCCCUUCUAGGCUUGCUACAGAUUGACGUAAAAAACAAAGAAGUAGCACAGGCAUUACAAGUCACGCGGGUGAUCACAUAUUUGGGCACAUCCCUUCCUGUCAAUAUAUCGGAGAAGUGAGUGGAUGAUAGAGCAUUCUAUGGUAUAGCAGUUAAGUCUCGAUUGACUCCCGUUGUGAAGGAACAUAUACUUGACUGGUUGUGGGAAAAAAAAAACAUAUACAGAACUGAUAACAUU
rnacentral:lncRNA from 1 species